rnacentral:rRNA from 1 species
GGCUUAUUGAAAAUAAUCUUAGGUCGUACCUGCCCAAUGAGGAAUUUAAUGGCCGCGGUAUAUUGACUGUGCAAAGGUAGCAUAAUCAUUAGUUUUUUAAUUGAAAGCUGGAAUGAAAGGUGUGAUGAGGAAUUAACUGUCUUUUAUUAAAUUAAUUAGAAUUUUAUUUUUAAGUGAAAAAGCUUAAAUUUUUAUGGAAGACGAGAAGACCCUAUAGAGUUUUAUAUUAAAAAUAUAAAUUUUUUUUUGGAUGAGAAAGGAGGUUUAUAAUUUUUAUAUAUUUUAUUGGGGUGAUAGAGAAACUAAAAGAACUUUUUUUCUUUUUAGAACAUUGAUUUAUGAUAAAUUGAUCCUAGAAUUUAGAUUAUAAGAGUAAAUUACCUUAGGGAUAACAGCGUAAUUUUUUUUAGAGUUCUUAUCGAAAGAAAAGAUUGCGACCUCGAUGUUGGAUUAAAAUGAAUCAAGGGUGUAGAAGCUUUAUGAUUAGGUCUGUUCGACCUUUAAAAUUUUACAUGAUCUGAGUUUAAACCGGUGUGAGCCAGGUCGGUUUCUAUCU